GAAAAGAGGAAGACAAGAGGAUUGACAGACCAACAUCAGGAGUUUUAUCAAACAGGCAAGGAGGAAUCUAUUGUUAGUGCUCGUGACCACACGGCCCGGCUCUCCAGGAUCAGAGGCUUUUAGGAAGGCUCGGCGGUCAUGAGUGACAGGUCGAGGAGAUGGAGGAUGAUGUGAGAUUUUAUGUGUUCGCGACCAACAGACGACAGAGGAUGUUGUUUUUUUGGCGGGCCAUCACUGCGUUUCCAGGAUUCAGGAUUGUGCCGCCAAAACCAGGAGCGCUGAAGUAUGGCUGAGUUUUGCUGCAGAGAUAACUUCUCCUGAACACCCCGUCCCCUCCUCUCGUCCUCCACUUCAGCAUCAAUGCAUCGUUGAAGGGCUGGGCUUGUGCUCUCUUUUCCAGUCCCCCCAUAAUUUUUACCCACA